GGGUUCUACUCCUGGAUUUACCAUUAAUCGCCAGAGGCGAUAUGUUUUGGUGUCUGAUCCAGCCUGCACUGAAUCUUGAGCACCAUCUGCGUAGGUCCGGGAUGAUUCCCGAUUUAAGACUCACAUCACCUACGGUCUUGGAUAGCCCCCAACUGGCAGGGACCCCAAUAGUUGGCGCGCCGCAGGCGACGCGC
rnacentral:sRNA from 1 species